rnacentral:rRNA from 1 species
CAUGCUCCCGGCCGCCAUGGCGGCCGCGGGAAUUCGAUUAGAGUUUGAUCAUGGCUCAGAUUGAGCGCUGGCGGCAGGCCUAACACAUGCAAGUCGAGCGGUAGAGAGGUGCUUGCACCUCUUGAGAGCGGCGGACGGGUGAGUAAUGCCUAGGAAUCUGCCUGGUAGUGGGGGAUAACGCUCGGAAACGGACGCUGAUACCGCAUACGUCCUACGGGAGAAAGCAGGGGACCUUCGGGCCUUGCGCUAUCAGAUGAGCCUAGGUCGGAUUAGCUAGUUGGUGGGGUAAUGGCUCACCAAGGCGACGAUCCGUAACUGGUCUGAGAGGAUGAUCAGUCACACUGGAACUGAGACACGGUCCAGACUCCUACGGGAGGCAGCAGUGGGGAAUAUUGGACAAUGGGCGAAAGCCUGAUCCAGCCAUGCCGCGUGUGUGAAGAAGGUCUUCGGAUUGUAAAGCACUUUAAGUUGGGAGGAAGGGCAUUAACCUAAUACGUUAGUGUUUUGACGUUACCGACAGAAUAAGCACCGGCUAACUCUGUGCCAGCAGCCGCGGUAAUACGAAUCACUAGUGAAUUCGCGGCCGCCUGCAGGUCGACCAUAUGGGAGAGCUCCCA